CCUACGGGAGGCAGCAGUGGGGGAUAUUGCACAAUGGGGGAAACCCUGAUGCAGCGACGCCGCGUGGGUGAAAAAGCGCCUCGGCGCGUAAAGCCCUGUCAGCAGGGAGAAAAAUGACGGUACAUGAAGAAGAAGCCCCGGCAAACUAAGUCACAUCAGCCGCGGGAAUACGGAGGGGGCAAGCGUUAUCCGGCUUUACUGGGGGUAAAGGGGGCUCAGACGGCGAUGCAAGCCAGGAGUGAAAGCCCGGGGCCCAACCCCGGGACUGCUCUUGGAACUGCGUGGCUAGAGUGCAGGAGGGGCAGGCGGAAUUCCUGGUGUAGCGGUGAAAUGCGUAGAUAUCAGGAGGAACACCGGUGGCGAAGGCGGCCUGCUGGACUGCAACUGACGUUGAGGCCCGAAAGCGUGGGGAGCAAACAGGAUUAGAUACCCCAGUAGUC
rnacentral:rRNA from 1 species